rnacentral:rRNA from 1 species
CCUACGGGUGGCAGCAGUGGGGGAUAUUGGACAAUGGGGGAAACCCUGAUCCAGCGACGCCGCGUGAGUGAAGAAGUAUUUCGGUAUGUAAAGCUCUGUCAGCAGGGAAGAAAGAAAUGACGGUACCUCAUCAACAAGCCCCGGCUAACUACGUGCCAGCAUCCGCGGCAAUCCGUAGGGGGCAAGCGUUAUCCGGAAUUACUGGGUGUAAAGGGAGCGUAGACGGUGAUGCAAGUCAGGAGUGAAAGGCGGGGGCCCAACCCCCGGACUGCUCUGGAAACUGCGUAGCUUGAGUGCAGGAGAGGUAGGCGGAAUUCCUAGUGUAGCGGUGAAAUGCGUAGAUAUUAGGAGGAACACCGGUGGCGAAGGCGGCUUACUGGACGGUAACUGACGUUGAGGCUCGAAAGCGUGGGGAGCAAACAGGAUUAGAUACCCUAGUAGUC